rnacentral:rRNA from 1 species
UACGGGGGGGGCAAGCGUUGUUCGGAAUUACUGGGCGUAAAGCGCACGUAGGCGGCUUCUUAAGUCAGGGGUGAAAUCCUGGAGCUCAACUCCAGAACUGCCUUUGAUACUGAGGAGCUUGGAGUCCGGGAGAGGUGAGUGGAACUGCGAGUGUAGAGGUGAAAUUCGUAGAUAUUCGCAAGAACACCAGUGGCGAAGGCGGCUCACUGGCCCGGUACUGACGCUGAGGUGCGAAAGCGUGGGGAGCAAACAGG